GGGGGGUUUAUAGCACGUAAAACAUUGGACAUUAAAAAUUUCCCAAUAUUUCACCAAAGGUCUGAGAUAAGAGGAAUGGUUUUUACCUGGUGUCUUAAAGAUAACUAACAGGCACCCAACAAACUUGCCGGAGGAGAACACUCCACAAGCGAGGGGUCACCAUAGAAAAGGCCCAUUCUGCAUUGUUUUAUUUGGACUGCUUCCUUGUGUAUUUUAAGGUGGGUAUUAAUAUUUCAUUAUUUUCGUAACUUUAAAAUAAAUAAAUGCCGCACUAAAUGAACUACUAAAUGAACUACCUUGUUCAGCAUGUGACAUGUGCAUAUAACUGUUAAGCAGUUUUCCUAACUCUUCAUUGUCUGAUGAGUUAGCUGCAGGCUGGCCUAAUUAGAAUUGGUCCAGACAGGGCUCAACUGCGACACCGAUAUAGUCUUUAUAGAACUGUGCUCUAUAAAUUUGAUCAUCAGUCCCCUACCCAGGACACUGCAAAAGUGAACUAAUCACAUCUGGACAGCAGGUGGUGCUGUAUACCAUAUUAGCAGGACGUAAACAGAAGGUUAUCUCAGUAAUUUCCAUACUGUGUGUCUGGAUACACUAGUAUAAUCUUAAUGUGCCAUGAGGGAUAACUUUAAAAUAAAAUCUCCUAUGAGCCUCAGGUGCCCGUUGCAUCUCUGCACAAGAUGCAUGAUUCACCACCCAGGUCUUGCCUCCUAAUCCUGGCUUCCUCACCCUCGCCCUCCAGAUGUUUUUGGCCUACAACUCCCAUGAUCCCUAGCUAGCAGGACCAGUGGUCAGGGAUGAUUGAAAUAUACUCUGAGUGUGGAUUUCAUGCUCUUUAUUCAGCUCAAAGUAGUGAGGGGGAAUGGAAGUUCUCCUGAAAUGUCUGCUUUAUAUACAUUAAUUACAAAAUGGGCCCCACAUGAUUGGCUAAUUCCAGGAUUCUCCUGUAGGCCAAUCAGGUUGCGGAUUCACUUCCACCUGGAGUUGGAUUGGGUGGCUCCUGCGGACCAAUGAAACUGCUGCAUUCUGGAUCCUAUCGUUCUAGGACCAAUGAAACUGCUGCAUUCUGGAUCCUAUCGUUCUAGGACCGAUCAGACUGCUGCAUUCUGGAUCCUAUUGUUCUAGGACCAAUCAGACUGCUGCAAUUUGGAUCCUAUUCAACUCAACAGGAAUUGUAGUCUCAAAACAUCUGGAGGGCUGAGGUUGAGGAAGCCUGUCCUAAUCAGUCUCUACUGGGGGAAGUUAAUUCUGUUGUAUCUCUGAAUUAGUUACAGCAAAGAAGUUAAGAAGAGGCUCGCAAAUAGAUUUAAAGGGCAUGUGGAGGUUGGAGAUGGGAGGAAACUUAUGCUGUGCAAGGCAAAGUUGUUCUGCUUUCCCAAAGCACUCUUUUAAAUACAACCCAGAGUUUGUUGGCUUGCUUUUGUUGCGCUGUAGUGUUGAAAGAGUGCAUCGCAGGGGGUUGGACUAGCUCAGGGGUCAGCAACCUUUUUCAGCAGGGGCCAGUCCACCGUCCCUCAGACCAUGUGGUGGGCCGGACUAUAUUUUUUUGGGGGGGGGGGAUGAAUGAAUUCUAUGCCCAACAAAUAAUCCAGAGAUGCGUUUUAAAUAAUAGCACACAUUCUACUCAUGUAAAAACACGCUGCUUCCCGGACUGUCCGUGGGCUGGAUUGAGAAGGCGAUUGGGCCACACCUGGCCCAUGGGCCUUAGGUUGCCUACCCCUGGACUAGAUGAACAGCUCUGCAGUAUGGUGCCAGUGUGGUGUAGUGGUUAGGAGCAGUAGACUCGUAAUCUGGUGAACCGGGUUCGCGUCUCCGCUCCUCCACAUGCAGCUGCUGGGUGACCCUGGGCUAGUCACACUUCUUUGAAGUCUCCUCAGCCCCACUCACCUCACAGAGUGUUUGUUGUGGGGGAGGAAGGAAAAGGAGAAUGUUAGCCGCUUUGAGACUCCUUCGGGUAGUGAUAAAGGGGGAUAUCAAAUCCAAACUCCUCUUCUUCUUCUUCUUCUUCUUCUUCUUCUUCUUCUUCUUCUUCUUCAUCUUCUUCUUCAGUUCUGUGUUUCUGCUCCAGAUGGCAAUAAUGUGGUAACAUUGGGGAAGCCUCAUAGAACAAGCAACAGAGCAGAAUAAUGUGCCGACAGAUCAACAUAAAUCCGUCACUAAUGUGCUUAUUACUGUGUCAGUGGCAUAUUGCAAAAUAUAAGUGCAGAAAGUGCCACCUGUCUUCAGGGACCGUACGUGGCAUCUUAACGUCCCCAGCUAAAUGAUGACUUGCCGCUGCCUCUGUAAUUUCAGGUUUCAGAGCAGCUGGAAGACACCGCUGCCUAGCAACAAGGGAAAUCCUGGUGUGCUCAGGAGGGCUGAAAACAGCACCCUGGUUGCUUGUAAAAUCCCUCAGAACCAUGUGCUUUAUGUGCUUUGCUGAGGAGAGUUUGAGUUCUCUCUCUCUCCCCCCUCCCCUGUGCCCCGAUCUUGGCAAGUUUCUAAAAUAACACCAGCCUGUUUAUUUACUCCCAGAGCUUGCAGUAUGAGCAGAUUCCCAGAGGAGGGGUUGGAAAGCUUCUAGAGGCGGCGGCUGCCUGUUUGUGAAGAGAGGGCGGUCAGCAAGCAAUAAAACUAUUGUUGAGGGUUUUAUAAAACAGGCCUCUGCCUGGGCUGCUCUCCAGCAAAUUAGAAUGGGGAGAAAGAGAGAGAGAAGUGUAGUGUUGUGGUUAGAGGAGUGGUUCUCAAAGGGUGUGAUGCGCCACACUGGUGUGGCAAGAGAGGAUGGCAAGCAUAGCAGGAAGAUUCAAAGACCAUCAAAGAAACAUCUAAACAUUUCAGUGUAGUAUAGCAUAGUAUCAAAAUAUCCAUUUUCUGCAAAUAAAUAAAAAAAUACCUUUGCAAAAUGAUACUGAGGACCAUCCUAGUUGUGAUCCAAAAUUGCUGUUCAAAGACAGUACUGGAGAGAAGAAGAAGAAGAAGAAGAAGAAGAAGAAGAAGAAGAAGAAGAAGAAGAAAUAGUGGCGGCUUGGGAAACCCAGCCAGGUGUGGGGGAUAUUACUAUUACUGUUAUUUUAUUUACACCCUGCCCACCUGGCUGGGUUUCCCCAGCCACUCUGGACGGCUUUUGUUGUUGUUUAGUUGUUUCCGACGCUUCGUGACCCCCUGGACCAGAGCACGCCAGGCCCUCCUGUCUUCCACUGCCUCCCGCAGUUUGGUCAAACUCAUGCUGGUAGCUUCAAGAACACUGUCCAACCAUCUCGUCCUCUGUCGUCCCCUUCUCCUUGUGCUCUCCAUCUUUCCCAACAUCAGGGUCUUUUCCAGAGAGUCUUCUCUUCUCAUGAGGUGGCCAAAGUCUUGGAGCCUCAGCUUCAGGUUCUGUCUUUCCAGUGAGCACUCAGGGCUGAUUUCCUUAAGAAUGGAUAGGUUUGAUCUUCUUGCAGUCCGUGGGACUCUCAAGAGUCUCCUCCAGCACCAGAAUUCAAAAGCAUCAAUUCUUCGGCGAUCAGCAUAUAUAAAACAUAGUAAAACACCAAACAUUAAAAACUUCCAGGAACAGGGCUGCCUUCAGAUGUUUUCUAAAAGCUGUAUAGCUCUUCUACAGUACUCCAUGUCAUAUUGUUGGUAACAAGAUUUUCAACUGACAAAUAUGGACCUUUCUUUUGGUUACUGGUUAGAUAAAGGAAUAGCGGUGGGGCCAUGACCCCUGGCACACAUUUUAAAGGGGUACAAUCAGGCGCCCCCACGACAGGCACAGAGCCCUGGCAGUGGAGGCGCAGCAGCGGGUGGGUUAGUAUAGUGAGCAGGUAGAUGAAUGGAGGCAGCUGGUGAGGAGCCAAUUGGAGGUGGGCUCCGUUCGCCCUCUGUGCAGGCUCCCUGCACGGCCCCCACCCCAGAUGCCCAGUCCACCGGGGGGUGCAACAUUUGCCCUGCGCCGGGCACCAGCAACCCAUGGUAUGCCCCUGUUGGUGAGCAAUGCUCAGUAGUAGUGGUGGACCUUUGUGACAGGCAGCCCCAAGAGAUGUUUGGAAGCUGUUGGGGCGCAGCAGACGUGCAGGGCAUUUGCCCCCCUACUCCCAAUAUUGCUGAACUACAACUCCCAUCAUCCCUGGUCAUUGGCCAUGCUUGCUGUGGCUGAUGGAAGUUGGGGGGUUCAGCAACAUCAGUACCUUUCCUUCUAUAAACAUUUCUGCUGUUAUGGUUUUGAAUUUAGAAGCCAAAUGUAGGAUCUACAACAAAAUGUUUCAGGAUGGAGUGAUUCUGUCCCGUCCGUCUGAUACCCAGUUUUAUGUGUGUGUUCCCUACCACCACAACAGAUAGGGUUCCUCCAGGUGUCCCUUUUAUUGUGCAUUUGUUCUGAUGGGAUCAGGGCAGUUGUACACAACCCUGCUUUCAACACUGUUUAGACUCAGAAAGUUUCAGUGCAGACAAACUGCUGUGUUUCCAGUUGAUGCAUGCCCCGUAGCAUCCCACUGAAAUCCUGUAACUUUCUGUUCUUCAAAUGUUCCAGGUUGAUUUAUUUUUGUCUUGCUUUCAUUGUGCUGUAGCGCAGGGGUGCCCCUCCAGAGAGCAAAAAUGCAGCAACAUUGGAGAAGCAUAGCAGAACAACUAAUAGAGCAGAAUGAUCUGUGAAUGUUGUUGUUGUUUAGUCGUUUAGUCGUGGCCGACUCUUCGUGACCCCAUGGACCAGAGCACGCCAGGCACUUCUGUCUUCCACUGCCUCCCACAACUUGGUCAAACUCAUGCUGGUAGCUUCGAGAACACUGUCCCACCAUCUCGUCCUCUGUCGUCCCCUUCUCCUUGAGCCCUCCAUCUUUCCCAACAUCAGGGUCUUUUCCAGGAAGUCUUCUCUUCUCAUGAGGUGGCCAAAGUAUUGGAGCCUCAGCUUCAUGAUCUGUCCUUCCAGGGAGCACUCAGGGCUGAUUUCCUUAAGAAGAAUGGAGAGGUUUGAUCUUCUUGCAGUCCAUGGGAUUCUCAAGAGUCUCCUCCAACACUAGAAUUCAAAAGCAUCAAUUCUUAGGUGAUCAGCCUUCUUUAUAGUCCAGCUCUCACUUCCAUACAUCACUAGAUCUGUGGAUAGCCUAGUCUAAAUCUAUCUACCGGUAAUACACUAUUAAGGGGCAGAUGGGGCUCAUCAACCUGGCAUGGCAGCCCAUCUAGGAGAAGGAAAACUCUGAUCCCAAAUCUCUGCUGCCUUGCGGGACAUCUUUGGGAGAAGAAAAGGCUAAGGAGUAAACCCUACAGAAAUCCAGAAUGGAGUCCCUAAGGUGGUUGGAGGGUGCCUUGUGUGACUCCUUCCAGCAACUCCUGCAGCCAAGCUGGUGCCAAACCUAUUGCGCUGCUUUCCUUUGGACCACAUCAGCGAGGCCAAGAGGGUCUUGUCAUCUGGACAAGAUUAAAGAAAGAUAAUACUUCGGGUUCUCUGUCUUGCAGCUAACUAUAGUAUUCACUCAUUAAGAUCCAACCUGAGAAACUAUUCAGAAUGUAUAAAGGUGUUUCAAAUGUUUGCUGGAAAUGCCAAGAACACGAAGGGAUAUUUUAUAAUGCUUGGCAGACAUGUGAAAAGGCUAAAAGAUAUUGGCUACGUGUACAUACAUUGAUACAGCCAAUUUUAAAAGUUCAUAUUCAAUUGAAGCCAGAACUCUUUCUUUCAUAGUUAAUGGAUACACAACUGGAAAAGGAUGAUGGGAGAUUAAUCCAAUUUAUGAUGGCAAUGGUGAGAUUGCUCUAUGCACAAAGUUGGAAAGAUACAGCCUAAAGGAAUAGCUGAUAAAACUAUUGGACUCGGCUGAGGUGGCAAAAUUAACUUGUUUAAUUAGAGAAAAACCAUUACUGAC